AUUCCCUUAGAUUUCAAAUUAUCCAAUUGCGAGGGCCGCUGGUCGGUGCUGACGCAAUGUGAUUUCUGCCCAGUGCUCUGAAUGUCAACGUAAAAAAAAUUAAUAAUCGUGGAUAAACGGCAAAAGUAACUGAUCUUUUUGUAGAGGAUGUGGUGUUCAUUUAAAGUUAGCACACAUGUGACUCGGAAAU
rnacentral:rRNA from 1 species